UGUCAGGGUCAGGAUGCGUGUACCUCCAGACAUCCCUGAGAUAUAACAUCCUACCUAAGAAAAAAGAGAAAGAACCCUUCGCUCUGCAGGUUAAUACUCUCCCCACGAAUUGUGAUGGAGUGGAUGCUCGCAGAAAGUUCCAGAUUCACAUCAACAUUAGUUAUACUGGGGACCGACCCAGCUCCAACAUGGUCAUUGUUGAUGUGAAGAUGGUGUC